AAAACUUAUUUACGCAACCCGGAGUCAGUCGCCGCCGGAGCGUCCACCGAGGAAGACCCUUUCCGAGUUCCUUCUCCCGAACAAAAUGUCUCUCAAAGUCCUCGUUGGCGUGAAGAGGGUGAUCGAUUAUGCCGUGAAGAUUCGUGUCCGCCCUGACAAAUUGGGCGUGGUGACAGAUGGCGUCAAGCACUCGAUGAACCCCUUUGAUGAGAUUGCAAUUGAAGAAGCAGUCCGUCUAAAGGAGAAGAAGAUUGCCAAGGAGGUUAUUGCUGUCUCAUGUGGUCCUGCACAAGCACAGGAGACCAUCAGGACUGCCUUGGCUAUGGGAGCUGAUCGCGGCAUUCACGUGGAAGUCCCAGCCAAGGAGAUGGAGAAGUUGGAACCCCUCCACGUGUCCAAGAUCUUGGCAAAGCUUGUGGAGAAGGAAGGGGGAGACCUGCUGAUCGUAGGCAAGCAGGCCAUCGAUGACGACUCCAAUGCCACAGCUCAGAUGACGGCAUCUCUCCUGAACUGGCCUCAGGCGACUUUUGCUUCUGAAAUAAAGAAAACAGAUGGUGAAUUGGAAGUGACUCGAGAAAUUGACGGCGGGCUGGAGUCCAUCAAAGUGAAACUUCCUGCUGUUGUUUCAGCAGAUUUGCGACUGAAUGAACCUCGUUAUGCCACACUCCCCAACAUCAUGAAAGCCAAGAAGAAGAAGAUCCAGAAGAUGAAACCGGCUGACCUUAGUGUGGAUGUUACGCCUCACCUGGAAGUCGUGGAGGUGGUUGACCCCCCAGUGAGAGAGGCAGGAAUCAAGGUGGACGAUGUAGAUACCCUUGUGGCUAAGCUCAAGGAAGCCGGACGCAUCUGAUGUAGCUGUCAUUAUCAGAUCAGAAGUGGAAUAAGUAGGUCGCUGUACAUUUACACGCAGGCUGUUGAUUGAAUUUAGGUGUUUGUAUUAACUGUGAGUGUGAGAAUGAGUCACUUAUCAAUGCAAUUUAAAGUUAAAAGUUCUUUUUACAUUCUCGGGAAACCACAAACUAACCAAAUGUAAUUUUUGUAGUGUACAUAAGAAAAUAUAUAUGAGGGUUUUA